UCUGGCAUUCCGCCUCAAGGCGACCUUAGUCUCUCCUAUAAAAGCGACACUGUUCCUGCUUCCUGUCAUACUGGAUUACAUUUCAUCGUCGGAGCACCAACAGAAAAAAAAAAACAUAAUGCAGCGUGCAGUGAUCGCCAUCUUUGUGCUCGUCCUUGUGGCCUGCGCUUUGGUUGCUGUUGAAGCCCAAUUCGGCAGAGGCGGCUUUGGAGGUGGUCGCUUCGGCGGUGGCUUCGGCGGUGGCCGAGGAUUCGGUGGUGGAUUCGGCGGUGGCUUCGGCGGUGGACGAGGAUUCGGCGGUGGCCGUGGAUUCGGCGGCGGACGUGGAUUCGGUGGUGGCCGUGGAUUCUAUGGUUAAUCAUACCACUGACUGUUUCAACUAAAGGCACGGCGAUGUCCCAUUCCUGCAAGGAAGCUACCGUCCAGGCAGACUGCCAUUGAAUUUGUAAAAUAAUAAGAGAGACGUGUGCGACGAACUCUGCUGGACAAAGGACGUGAAUAAACACUUAUCCAAACAGCGAAA